rnacentral:rRNA from 1 species
UACGUAGGGGGCAAGCGUUGUCCGGAAUCAUUGGGCGUAAAGCGCGUGUAGGCGGUCCGGCAAGUCCGCUGUGAAAGCCGGGGGCUUAACCCUCGGAUGCCGGUGGAUACUGUCGGGCUUGAGUACGGAAGAGGCGAGUGGAAUUCCUGGUGUAGCGGGGAAAUGCGCAGAUAUCAGGAGGAACACCAAUUGCGAAGGCAGCUCGCUGGGACGUAACUGACGCUGAGACGCGAAAGCGUGGGGAGCAAACAGG